rnacentral:rRNA from 1 species
GCAUAACGCGAAGAACCUUACCAGGUCUUGCAUCCUCUGCCAACCCUAGAGAUAGGGCGUUCCCUCCGGGGACGGAGUGACAGGUGGUGCAUGGUUGUCGUCAGCUCGUGUCGUGAGAUGUUGGGUUAAGUCCCGCAACGAGCGCAACCCUCGCCCUACGUUGCCAUCAUUAGGUUGGGCGACUCUAGGGGGACGUNCCGGUGAUAAGCCGGAGGAAGGUGGGGAGUGACGUCAAGUCUUCAUGGCCCUUACGGGUUUGGGCUACACACGUGCUACAAUGGCGGUGACAGAGGGCUGCUAGUCCGUGAGGACAUGCUAAUCCCAAAAAGCCACUCUCAGUUCGGAUUGCAGGCUGCAACUCGCCUGCAUGAAGUCGGAAUCGCUAAUAAUCGCGGAUCAGCAUGCCGCGG